UUUAUCCUUGAAUAAAAAUAGUGCUCAACUUUCCCCCUCUUUCGCCAAGUGUGCAUAUGGAAAUACCCUUCCGUAUAAAAAAGGGCUUUGACCGUCUAAGGGGCGUUUCCUGGACAUUUUUACCCUCACUGCGUAUGUCACUUACAUGUGGGCCACUUCAUCCUAGAAAAAAAGAAAAAAAACUCUCUCCCUGCCACCUCUCUUUAUGUCCCUUGCAUGUGGGCCUAGCAAGAAAAAAAGGAAAAUAAAAGGGAAACUCUCUCUCUCUCUCACCUCUGUCUCUCCCAACUCCGGCGAACCCGAUGCCCCGACCUGCGCCGCUGCGGCCGCGAGCUCCACACCAAUCUUCGCGCUCCUCUCUCUCUCUCUCUCGCCCUAGUUCUCUUCCAUCUCUAUCCCUCUCCCGCAAGAAUGCCCGAGAGCCCCAGGUUGCCGUCGUCAGCCGCGCACGCGUCCAGCAGCAACCCCAAGUGCCAAGACCUCGUCAGGAAGCUCUGACGAGAUGCCCUCGUCCUCUUAUCUAAUGAAUUCGAGUAGUGAAGGACCGGAUAGGCUCCCACGAUGUCAUCUUCCCCGCCUCUCGCCUCGGCCCGCCGUCGUUGAUUUGAUGCCGUUGAAGUGCCCCGCCCGAUAUCUGUCGCUCCCCGAGGAUCCCGAGGUGCCGCAGAAGACGUAGACGUCCUCCACAGCAAGCCAGUGACCCAGGGCCUCUUCCCCACGAGCUCUGAGCCCUGCCAUGGCCGCUGUCGCGGGAUUUCUCAUCGUCGUUGACUCCGGCGACAGAUGGGCCUAAUCCACCACCUCUCAAUGCGUCAGAGCCAGGGCUAUUGCCGGGUGCCCUCAGUCAGCCUCCCCGCCGCUUCGUGGCGUCCCUCCACCGAAGGAUUUGGCCGCCGCCUGCAAUCCUCGACCCAAACCCUUUGUUUUCCUUUUUUAGAAACAAAUACAGUAAUAUUUAUCCAUAUGUGGUUGGUUGUUGCCAACAAAAUUAUUUUCUCCUAAUCAGAUUUGGCUCUCUCAAUCUAUUUUCUUUACCGCCUAAACCUCCCGCGUUUCUCAAAACUUUCUGAGUCAUAUAAUUAUAAUCCCAAUUAUUUCUCCCCACGACGCCAUCUCCCACCUCCCCAUUUCAACCUCCCGAACCAAUCUGCGCCCCGGGCGCCGCCCGAUCUCCCACCCCACACGGCGGCAGCCUCAUCCUGAAGCGCCGCCCUCUGCCGCUAGUUUCGCCCGACGCCGACUCCCAUUCUCCUCCAUCCGCAGCGGCGGCAGUUGGAGCCCUGCCGGCGUCUGUCGUCCUCACCAACACGAAGCCGUGCUCCCUCCUGACGUCGUCCUCACCGUCACCAAGCCGCAUCCACGGCGGUCUCAUCUCUCACCCGAAGCACCAUGGCGAGUUUCGUCGCUACACCACCCACAAGCAGCGCCCGCCUCCUGCCAGCAUCUUCAGCCUCCGCCACGUCAAGCAGCCUGCAGGGGUCUUGGAAAUAUGUGACCACUGUCUUGAGGUACUGAUGUCAGCCUAAUUUCCAUCCAUUGCUCCAGAUAUAGCACCCUUGUGUCCAAAAUCAAAAUCUCACCCAAAGUGAUGCAGAGCUACCUACUGGGUAGCUGAAAAUUUAGAAAAGGAGUGCAUAGAAGGAGCCAGGAGCAAGUACAGAAGAGUUAGUCUUUAAAUGAACAAUAUUUUGAAUUAUGUAUUAGAUUAUAACUUCAUAGGAAAACUUUGUUCUAGUUUACAGGAUCUUUUCAUAAUUAUUUGUAUCUUUCAUAUGAAUGUCUCAUUUGAUUCAAUUAUGAACUCAAGGUGUUUGUUCCUACUAAUUAGUGCACUGCUUGUUUUUUACUAAGGAUGCUAAUUGUGCAAAUGGUAUUAUAGUGAAUGCAAUUGGUGAUAUGGGCGGAUGCCUUAUUAUA